rnacentral:rRNA from 1 species
UACGGAGGGUGCAAGCGUUAAUCGGAAUUACUGGGCGUAAAGCGCACGCAGGUGGCUGAGUCAGUCGAUUGUGAAAGCCCUGGGCUUAACCUGGGAAUUGCAGUCGAUACUACUCAGCUAGAGUAUGGGAGAGGGUAGUGGAAUUCCCGGUGGUAGCGGUGAAAUGCGUAGAUAUCGGGAGGAACAUCAGUGGCGAAGGCGGCUACCUGGCCCAAUACUGACACUCAGGUGCGACAGCGUGGGGAGCAAACGGG